ACCUUUUCACAACUUCUAUUUCUAUUUCACAUUUUUCUCUUUCUUUUAUAGUUUCAAUUCUCCUAAAGAAACUCUGAUCAAAGCAAAAUUGAAGCUUUGAUCUUCUCUUUCACUCCCUAUAUAAUCGUGAAAAGUCUUUUAUCUUCGAUUUCUUUCUUUUUGAAAUCGAAGAUCCAAAAAGGAGAAAUUAGGGUUCUCAAUUUCUCUCAGGGUUGUAGAUUGGGGUUUCAGUAUGUUUCAAUCGUGGAGUUUUUUGGUUCCGAUGUAUGGAUUUUGAUUUAAAAGGGGAAAUUGAAGUUUUCUGAAAAUCGAAAUUGGGGAAAUCUCAAGGAUUUGUUGUAACGGGUUCUCUUUGAUUUGUUGUAAUGAGUUGUUUUUGAUUUUGUAGAUAACUUUUGGGUGCUUUUAUGUUUUUUUUUUUUAAAUUUUAUUUGAAAAUCAAUGUUAGGGUUCUACUGCCUCUCAAUGUCGAGAGUUUUUUUUUCUCGAUAAUGCAGGAGCAAAGGCUAGUCCUAUUUGAAAACUUUCAGUGGUUAGGGUUGAUGUUGUCUGUGGUUGUACCAUUUACUGAAAUUGGGGUGUACAUUAGUCCAAUCAUAGCAUCAUUAUUAUGGUCUGUUGCGUCAAAGAAUUUCAUUCGGUGUUCUGUGGUUCUGUCUAUUUGCUAAUGAGAAGUCAUUCAUUUUCAAUUUCAGGAAGACGGAGCCUAAUGAUUUUGAUUUGUUGAUUUGGUCAAGGCCUUGGGUUCUUGUACACAUUUUCAAUUUGCUAGUUUCUACAAUAGAUCCCACAAUGGUUAUUGUACAAAAGCAUCAUUGAAUAGUUUCUAGGCUCUUAAACUUUCUUUCUAACCAUUCUUGAAUAUUUCUGCUUGCUACUUUGAAUGAAUCUUAAGAUUUAUGCACAGAUGUUGGUGGAGUUUGUAUGAUUUUCCAACACAGAUUAAAAAGUUUGAGAAGUUUUACUGGAUUUAUUGAUACAUCUAUUUUUCUGUCCUAUAUGUCAUCUAUUUUAGUGAAAUGUCAAACACUUUGUUAAGCUACGAUUGAAUGUAUUUGAAACACUGAUACCGUCUCACCUAAUAUUUAGGGGCCCUUUCUUUUGUGAUCCAGGAAAAAGCAAAUCAAGUGAGAAGCUAAAAGAAGGACCCAGCUGAGAAGACAUGCGCUCUGGUAGCGAGAGAUAUACUGAAAGAAAUGGAUGUUAAUACUAGAUAUUCAGUUUGGGAGAACAGCAGGUCUGAUAUCGGAGGGGUACAUUGGAUUAUUAUCAGCAGUUUUAUGGCGAAGAUUGCCAUGUUGAGUUCCCCUUUUGAAGCUUUAGCCCAUAUGACGUCUCUUUUAAGAUGCCUUUAUUGCUUACCGUAUCACUUGUUAGAGCCAUGCUGGAUUAUCGUAUCAUAGAUUAGGACGGUACAAGGAUGCCAUAAAAAAUACCACUCAAUGGUAUUGGAAAUCUUUGGCUGAGGACAUGAUAAAUCUGGUAAUACUGACUGAAGCUUGCAAAGCUGUUGUGGACUGUCAACCUGUACUCAGUUCAAUCUAAUUGUAUCAGUCAGUUCAUGAGUUUGCACUGUAUGUAUUCUCAAACAUAAAAUUAAAAUUUUCACAUAUAAGCUUUCUUAAUUCGUUAGAA